rnacentral:rRNA from 1 species
AGCCAAAGAUUUAUCGGCUAAGGAUGGGCCUGCGUCUGAUUAACUAGCUUGGUGAGGUAACGGCUCACCAAGGUGACGAUCAGUAGCCGACCUGAGAGGGUGAUCGGCCACAUUGGAACUGAGACACGGUCCAAACUUCUACGGAAGGAAGAAGUAAGGAAUCUUGCACAAUGGGGGAAACCCUGAUGCAGCAACGCCGCGUGAACGAUGAAGGCCUUAGGGUUGUAAAGUUCUGAUCUGUGGGAAGAAGAAGUGACGGUACCACAGGAGAAAGCCCCGGUUAAAUACGUGCCAGCAGCCGCGGUAAUACGUAUGGGGCAAGNGUUAUCCGGAAUUAUUGGGCGUAAAGAGUGCGUAGGUGGUUACCUAAGCGCAAGGUUUAAUCUUGAGGCUCAACCUCAUUCUGCCUUGCGAACUGGGCUGCUUGAGUGCAGGAGGGGAAAGCGGAAUUCCCAGUGUAGCGGUGAAAUGCGUAGAUAUUGGGAAGAACACCGGUGGCGAAGGCGGCUUUCUGGACUGUAACUGACACUGAGGCACGAAAGCGUGGGGAGCAAACAGGAUUAGAUACCCUGGUAGUCCA